ensembl:lncRNA
CUUUAUAGUUUCACGCAAUGCACGUUACCCUCCGUGUCAGCCUUCAUGAUUGUUGAUUCUGUGUUUCUGAGAAUAAGGCUGCAGCACAUGCAGUCCAUGAUGACCCUGAAGACCUCAUCACCAUGGCAACAACAGUUACUUCUCAAACAAUCUGUGGUUGAAGUGACUGAAAACAGCAGAACAUUUUCAGGAGGAGAAGAAAGAAAAGUCUGCAGUCAUGAUGGAUGAUGACAGAGAAACUUCUAGUUUUUCAGCUCAACGUUUGGAGGCGGAGCUCCAGAGGUAAACUCCAGCUUUUUUCCUCCUGGAAUCUUUGAGAACACAGUUCAGAUGUUCCUCUGCUCCUCCUCCUGCUUCAGAUGCAGACUCCGCUGUAAGAAGCUGAGCUCUGAGAACAGCCUGCUGUCAGCUCUGAGCUGCAGGCUGGAGGAGGACCGGAAGGACGUGGAGCGCUUCCUGCCGCACCACUCCGCUGAGUUGGAGGAGCAGCUGCAGGAGCUGCAGGAGCGGCUGAAGCUGCAGCAGCUCGCCCACACGCAGGAGCUGCAGGAGCUGAAGCUGCAGCUGCACCAGGAGAAGCUGCAGCUCCAGGAGAGGACGGAGCUGCUGAGCUCUGAGGUCACACAGCAAGCUGCAAGAGUGAAGGAGCAGCAGGAGGAGCUGAAGCAGCAGCUGAAGCAGCAGCUGCCCAGCGUGGAGCAGCUGCUCCAACUAAGAUCUAAACUCCAGUCUGCUGACCUACAGCUGAGUUUGGAUCAGAUACAACAUGAAGAAGAGGAGACGGAGAACACCAACAGGCUCCUGGAGAACCAGCUGUCAGAGAUGAUGGAAGAGAAGAAGGAGGAGCUGAGGGAGCUGAAGGAGGAGUCGACGCUCCUGCUGGAGCAGAACAAGGCUCUGUUCAAGGAGAAAGAGGUUCUCCAGCUCUCUCUGGGGAACCUCUGCCAUGAUGUGGAUGAAGUGAAGGCCAACAUGAAGCAGGACUCUCUGCAGGUCCUCAGUCUCACAAAGGACGUGGAGGAGCUGCGCAGGAGACUGCAGCAGCUGCAGAGCAAGCAGGAGGUCAGGACGCUACUGAGCACGCUCCAACUGGAGGACACGCCCAGAGAGAAUGUCGUCUCAUCCAUGAAGCAUCAGCAUCAAACAGCCCCCCCAGCUGUGGUGGGGGCUCAGCAGCAGAGAAGGACUGAAGCCUUCGAGAGGAAACGACCUCAGACUACAGAGACCCCCCCUCCAACAAACAUGACGGUGAGCUUCAACCCCCCAGCAGAUCAGAGAAUGAGUUUAUCCAUGGAGCUUCUGAAGGUAAAAGUGCUCACUCUUCAUCACUCUUCAUCACUCUUCAUCACUCUUCAUCACUCUUCAUCACUCCUCAUCCCUCUUCAUCAUGGACUCAGUAGAUGAGGAUGUGACUUCCAUGCAGAAAGAAAAUCUUUGUAUUUCUCAGCUCUGCAGCUCAGAGGAAGACUCCUUCAGUUUGGGACAGCAGUCAUGAAUUCUUCCCAGAAUUCCUCUGAAUGAAUGCUGGGAUGUAACCCAGACCUCCUUCUUCUGUCCAGAACUCUCACAGAACACCACGAGCCCAGAUCUACGAGCAGAAGCUGUUGGAGAUUCUGCAAAGACGAGACCAUCAGAGUCCUUCAGGCUGACCCGGACCCUGCAGUCUGGUUCUGGAGGACGAAUCUUUCCAAUAAAUCUGCACAUCUGCAGCUGCAGACCGGACUCUUGAAUCCACUCAUCUCUCAUGGACAAUCGAGGCUAAAACGAUCAGAGACUUUAUUUUGUUUCAAACUUAAUUUUCCUUUUUUUUUAAAUAAACUUGAUGAGUCACAAUUAAUGUUUACCAGAAAUCAGAUUUUCCUCUUGACAUUUGUAGAGAUUUUGAUGAAGGUCAAGGUGUUGUCGGCUCAGAUCGACCUGAUAAUGCAAGGAUGUAGCAAAUCAUUAGAGGAGUGCAAUACUUGAUUUAGAAAUAUUACUUUCUUAUUUUUAGUGCUAAAAGUAGCUUGUAAAUAUGCUUUCUUAAUCUUUGUCUACAUUUAUACUAAUAUUGACUCAAAAAUUUGAAGGAAAGAAACUAUUUUUUGGGAAGGGGGGGGUGCAGCUUCAUAGUUCUGCCACUUUAUUAACACAUUUUAUCCAUAUUUUAAAAAACAUCAAUGAUAAACCAGCUUUUCCUCAGCAUGGUGAAACCAGUGAUUAUUGUUGCAUCAAAUGAAUGACACUAAGCAGAGUGGCAGAGAUUCUUCAACAUGGAAAAGUAGUAAAAACAGCAGAAAGUUCAGGGGAAGCAGUUACGAUGAAGGGAUGAACAUUUUUAAAAAGUUUUGAUGUGAAUAAAGUGAGACUUUAGUCAUCCAUUUCCUGAAGUUGAGGCUUGAGAUUACUGCUAAAUCUGAGACUAGACUAGAGCUGGAACAUUGUUCAGUGUAUUUCUGAUUGUUGUUCUUGAAUCUUAGAGGCAGUUUGUGCAUGGCUGCUUCUGGGCGGAGCUCCUCUGUUGAAAGAUCCUUAACGGUCUGGAGGAGCUUUUGCUUUCACUUCUUUGUGAAGAUGGAGACAGCAUUUCUGUUUAAGGCCUAAAUCUUGAACAAAUGAGGAAAUGAUUUGAUGUUAGCAGAUGGAGGAUCCUGAUCAUCAAUUAUUGAGCACAGAGAAUUCAAAGCUGAUUAUUGAUUAAUUUUUACUUUUCCAGGUGAGUUUCUGAUCAAUCUUUUAUAGAUUUUAGCUGCAGACAUUUUCUUUCAGCUGCUUCAAAAGACCCCAUAGAACAAAUGAA